rfam:Bacillus infantis NRRL B-14911, complete genome.
CAUUAAGGAGCGCAGACUAAGAACGCCACGUCCUGUGGCAACGUCUGCAUGACCCACAUCCUGUGGG